UAACUAAUUUCAAUUCCUAUGUGCAUUAGGGAUUGCAUUGCAUUGUAUACCUUCUUGUGCUUUAAUCUGUAAUGGUGAGCUGCAGCCAUUAGGAUUUGCUUUGUGCAUUUUCUAGGGCAGGGGCAAGCAACCUUUGGCACUCCAUCUGUUUCUGAACUACAGCUCCCAUCAUCCUUAGCCACAGUUAAUUGUCUACCUCUGGUCUAGGGGAUUUAAGUGGUCUGGUUUGCAUAUGACUUCUGCAAGUGUUUUGUUAUGGAGACCAGUUUGUUUUCUAGUCUUUAGGAUAUGCUUCACACAUGGUCUAUGGGUACUAAAAUUGUCUGAGAACCUAUUUUAAAUCCUUCCCAUUAGCACUUGACUUCCAGUGGGGAAGUGAUUGUGCAUAGUCCUCGGGCCUUGCUUUAUAGUGGGGUUGUGCUUGUGCUGCAGCCUGUACAACUUGUUUUGCAGUGAUUAAGUGGUUGUGCUUAAUCCACUGGAACUUGCUUUGCACUCACUUGUUGAAACACAUUGUAACUUGACACAGAUGUUUGUUUCCACUGCAGAUUCAUACAGUUUGUAGUGUACUGAACUGGAGGAGGAACAGGAGACCAAUGGCAAUGAAGAAGGCCACCAGAGAAAGGCUCAUGAGCCUCCACAAUGACAACAGAGUAGACAGCAUGAUCCCAAGGAGGGAACCUCAGGUGGCACUAAAGAGCUUCUGAAGAGGAUGAUGAGUGUUCUUGUACAACAUCAGUCCUGAAAAGCUCCCCAGUGUCCUACCUGCUUGAUGUGCAGAUUAACACUGAUAGGAUGCAGAGCCAGAGUUUGACCAGGUUCGUGCCCUGUCCAAGGCCCUCUUGCAGCUUAUGCUUCUUCUUGCAAGAAAAGCGGCAGCAGUUGAACACCAACUGGUCUUACUAAGGGAGGAAAAGCAGAGAGUUGAUUAACUGCUUGGGGGGCAAUCACCUUUAAUUAGUUUCCAGUUCCCAUUCUGUUGUUAACAUUGUGUUAUGUGCAAUAAAAGUGUUUGAGAUCA